AUGUAAUGUAAUGCCUACAAUGUUAAUGCACUAGAUCCCAUUAUAACUCCACAAUUAAGUGUGCUUGGGACAUAGUAGUAUUGGGAUGAGAGACCUCCUAGGAAUUCCUAGUGUUUUACAUG
rnacentral:rRNA from 1 species